rnacentral:tRNA from 1 species
GGGAAAGUAGCUCAGUGGUAGAGCAUCGGUUUCUUAACCUAAAGGUCAUGGGUUGGAUCCCCGGCUAUUUCC